ACAGAGGGGGCAAGCGUUAUUCGGAAUUAUUGGGCGUAAAGGGCGCGUAGGCGGCUUUGCAAGUGGCGGGUGAAAUCCCUCGGCUUAACCGAGGAACUGCCUGCCAGACUGUGAGGCUUGAGACCGGGAGAGGUGAGUGGAAUUCCCAGUGUAGCGGUGAAAUGCGUAGAUAUCAGGAAGAACACCCGUGGCGAAAGCGGCUCUCUGGAACGGUACUGACGCUGAGACGCGAAAGCGUGGGGAGCGAACAGGA
rnacentral:rRNA from 1 species